rnacentral:rRNA from 1 species
AAAGAAUCGGGCCUGCCCAGUGAAACAUUUUUAACGGCCGCGGUACCCUGACCGUGCAAAGGUAGCAUAAUCAUUUGCCUUAUAAUUGAAGGCUAGUAUGAAUGGUUUAACGGGAGCAAUACUGUCUCCUUUCUAUUUUCAAGUACUUAACCUUUAAGUGAAGAGGCUUAAAUUUAAUUGAAGGACAAAAAGACCCUGUCGAGCUUAAUAUAUAUGAUAGAAGUUUAUAUAUAUAUUUAGAUAAAUUUACUUUUAAGAUUUUUAGUUGGGGCGACUAAGGAACAUAAAAAGCUUCUUAUUAUAAAAUAACAGGCAAGUUUAGAUCCGAAAUAAUCGAUUUAAGAAAUUAGUUACCGCAGGGAUAACAGCAUAAUCUCUCUUAAGAGACCUAAUCGAAAGAGGGGGUUGUGACCUCGAUGUUGGACUAGAAUACCCUAAAGGUGCAGAAGCCUUUGAAGGUC